GGGCUCUCGCUGCAGGAUGAGCCCGCGUCCGAUUAGCUAGUUGGUAGGGUAAUGGCCUACCAAGGCGACGAUCGGUAGCUGGUCUGAGAGGAUGAUCAGCCACACUGGGACUGAGACACGGCCCAGACUUCUACGGAAGGCAGCAGUGGGGAAUUUUGCGCAAUGGGGGAAACCCUGACGCAGCAACGCCGCGUGGACGAUGAAGGCCUUCGGGUUGUAAAGUCCUGUUCUGGGGGAAGAACAAGCAGCAGGCCAAUACCCUGCUGUCCUGACGGUACCCCAGGAGAAAGCUCCGGCUAAUUAUGUGCCAGCAGCCGCGGUAACACAUAAGGAGCAAGCGUUGUCCGGAAUUAUUGGGCGUAAAGAGCUCGUAGGCGGUCCCGAAAGUCAGCUGUGAAAGCACCAGGCUCAACCUGGUAGGGUCAGCUGAAACUUCGGAACUUGAGGGUAGAAGAGGAAAGUGGAAUUCCAGGUGUAGCGGUGAAAUGCGUAGAUAUCGGGAGGAACACCAGUGGCGAAGGCGGCUUUCUGGUCUAACCCUGACGCUGAGGAGCGAAAGCUAGGGGAGCGAACGGGAUUAGAUACCCCGGUAGUCCUAGCUGUAAACGAUGGAUACUAGGUGUAGGAGGUAUCGACUCCUUCUGUGCCGUAGUUAACGCAUUAAGUAUCCCGCCUGGGGAAUACGGUCGCAAGGCUGAAACUCAAAGGAAUUGACGGGGGCCCGCACAAGCGGUGGAGCAUGUGGUUUAAUUCGACGCAACGCGAAGAACCUUACCGGGGCUUGACAUCUUUUUGACCGCCUGGGAAACCAGGUCUUCUUCCUUCGGGAAGACAGAAAGACAGGUGGUGCAUGGUUGUCGUCAGCUCGUGUCGUGAGAUGUUGGGUUAAGUCCCACAACGAGCGCAACCCUUGUCCUUAUUUGCCAGCUUGCUUGCAAGCGCACUCUAAGGAGACUGCCGUAGAUAAUACGGAGGAAGGUGGGGAUGACGUCAAAUCCUCAUGCCCCUUACGUCCCGGGCUACACACGUGCUACAAUGGUCUGUACAGAGGGUUGCCAAGGAGCAAUCCGGAGCCAAUCCCACAAAGCAGGCCUCAGUUCGGAUUGGAGGCUGCAAUUCGCCUCCAUGAAGGUGGAAUCGCUAGUAAUCGCGGAUCAGCAUGCCGCGGUGAUCCGUUCCCGGGCCUUGUACA
rnacentral:rRNA from 1 species